rfam:Triticum aestivum genome assembly, contig: Triticum_aestivum_CS42_TGACv1_scaffold_503343_6BL
AAAGUACUCCCUCUGUCCCAAAAUUCUUGUCUUAGAUUUGUCUUGAUACGGAUGUAUUCUGUAUCUAGACAAAUCUAAGAUAAGAAAUUUGGGACAGAGGGACUAGUUG